rnacentral:rRNA from 1 species
UACGGAGGGGACUAGCGUUGUUCGGAAUUACUGGGCGUAAAGCGCACGUAGGCGGAUUUGUUAGUCAGGGGUGAAAUCCCGGGAGCUCAACCUCGGAACUGCCUUUGAUACUGCAAAUCUCGAGUCCGGAAGAGGUGAGUGGAAUUCCUAGUGUAGAGGUGAAAUUCGUAGAUAUUAGGAAGAACACCAGUGGCGAAGGCGGCUCACUGGUCCGGUACUGACGCUGAGGUGCGAAAGCGUGGGGAGCAAACAGGG